rnacentral:rRNA from 1 species
AUACGAACCGGACAAACGUUAUUCGGAAUUAUUGGGCUUAAAGGGUGCGUAGGCGGCGCGGUAAGUGAGGUGUGAAAGCCCACGGCUCAACCGUGGAAUUGCGCUUCAUACUGCCGUGCUAGAGGGAGACAGAGGUAAGCGGAACUGAUGGUGGAGCGGUGAAAUGCGUUGAUAUUAUCAGGAACACCUGUGGCGAAAGCGGCUUACUGGGUCUCUUCUGACGCUGAGGCACGAAAGCUAGGGUAGCGAACGGGAUUAGAAACCCCAGUAGUCC